rnacentral:rRNA from 1 species
UACGGGGGGGAGCAAGCGUUGUUCGGAUUUACUGGGCGUAAAGGGCGCGUAGGCGGCGUAACAAGUCACUUGUGAAAUCUCCGGGCUUAACCCGGAGCGGCCAAGUGAUACUGUUGUGCUAGAGUGCGGAAGGGGCUACUGGAAUUCUCGGUGUAGCGGUGAAAUGCGUAGAUAUCGGGAGGAACACCUAUGGCGAAGGCAGCUCGCUGGGACGUUACUGACGCUGAGACGCGAAAGCGUGGGGAGCAAACAGG